AUUGAACGCUAGCGGGAUGCCUUACACAUGCAAGUCGAACGGAGUGGCGAACGGGUGAGUAAUGUAUCGGAACGUGCCCCGUAGCGGGGGAUAACUACGCGAAAGCGUAGCUAAUACCGCAUCCUAUUGGAGCGGCCGAUAUCGGAUUAGCGAGUUGGUGGGGUAACGGCUCCACAAGGCGACGAUCCGUAGCUGGUGUGAGAGGACGACCAGACAAACGGGGACUGAGACACGGACCAGACUCCUACGGGAGGCAGCAGUGGGGAAUUUUGGACAAUGGGGGAAACCCUGAUCCAGCCAUCCCGCGUGUGCGAUGAAGGCCUUCGGGUUGUAAAGCACUUUUGGCAGGAAAGCGGUACCUGCAGAAUAAGCACCGGCUAACUACGUGCCAGCAGCCGCGGUAAUGC
rnacentral:rRNA from 1 species